rnacentral:ribozyme from 1 species
UGCCCAGCAACUCCUUUCCCUACCUUCUCGCGGUACUGGCCUGGAUACAAGUAACCUUAGGGAAGA